rnacentral:rRNA from 1 species
AACGAACGCUGGCGGCGUGUUUAAGACAUGCAAGUCGCACGGGAUCUUUUUGAGUAGCAAUACGAAGAAAGGUCCAGUGGCGCACGGGUGAGUAACACGUGAAUCACAUGCCCUGCAGAGGGGGAUAGCCCAGGGAAACUUGGAUUAAUACCCCAUGGUCUCGCAAGAGUAAACGGUGGCCGCAAGGCUGUCGCUGCAGGAUUGGUUCGCGCCCUAUCAGCUUGUUGGCGGGGUAACGGCCCACCAAGGCUACGACGGGUACCUGGUCUGAGAGGACGAUCAGGCACACUGGAACUGAGACACGGUCCAGACACCUACGGGUGGCAGCAGUCGAGAAUAAUUCACAAUGGGGGCAACCCUGAUGGUGCAACGCCGCGUGGAGGAUGAAGGUCUUCGGAUUGUAAACUCCUGUCAUCCGGGAGCAAGACCUGACGGUUAACAGCCGGCAGGGUUGAUAGUACCGGAAGAGGAAGGGACGGCUAACUUCGUGCCAGCAGCCGCCGUAAGAC